rnacentral:rRNA from 1 species
GGCGGCCGCGGGAAUUCGAUUAGAGUUUGAUCAUGGCUCAGAUUGAACGCUGGCGGCAGGCCUAACACAUGCAAGUCGAGCGGUAGAGAGAAGCUUGCUUCUCUUGAGAGCGGCGGACGGGUGAGUAAUGCCUAGGAAUCUGCCUGGUAGUGGGGGAUAACGUUCGGAAACGGACGCUAAUACCGCAUACGUCUUACGGGAGAAAGCAGGGGACCUUCGGGCCUUGCGCUAUCAGAUGAGCCUAGGUCGGAUUAGCUAGUUGGUGGGGUAAUGGCUCACCAAGGCGACGAUCCGUAACUGGUCUGAGAGGAUGAUCAGUCACACUGGAACUGAGACACGGUCCAGACUCCUACGGGAGGCAGCAGUGGGGAAUAUUGGACAAUGGGCGAAAGCCUGAUCCAGCCAUGCCGCGUGUGUGAAGAAGGUCUUCGGAUUGUAAAGCACUUUAAGUUGGGAGGAAGGGCAGUAAAUUAAUACUUUGCUGGUUUGACGUUACCGACAGAAUAAGCACCGGCUAACUCUGUGCCAGCAGCCGCGGUAAUACGAAUCACUAGUGAAUUCGCGGCCGCCUGCAGGUCGACCAUAUGGGAGAGCUCCC